rnacentral:lncRNA from 1 species
CAGAGGUCUCUUUUGAUCCCAUAGGAAGCUCUGGAGCUUGGGUCACCCUUCAGAAUUAGCUCCUGAGACCUUUUACGUUCAGGCUACUUCUUCCCUCAAAUGAAUAAAGAAGGAUCCAACUUCCCAGGAACCCAUAGGCCAUCAGAACAGCUCCUUCCUCAUAGCCAGAUUGCAUUGGGUCUGCCUGAAUAGGAUGCCAGCUGUGUGCCAUACAUGCUGUUGACGAGAGAAGAUUCUGCUUUGAAACCUAAGGUUGGUGUCAUAUCACCAGAAGAUCAACCAACCUGGAAGGCUAAGAGUGUCAUUUAUUGUAAAAGACUGGAUGAACCAUGGAGGGAAAGGCUGGAGUGCAGUGGUGCGAUCUCACCUCCCCAGGAUCAAGUGAUUCUCCACCUCAACUUCUAAGUAGCUGGCAGUACAGUGUGGAUGAGUAUCUGUACUGGUACCUUCUUUUCAAGCACUUUGAAGUACUUUGUAAGUAUGGAUGAACCGUGUCUAAUAAAGCAGUUGCCUGUUGAUAGACUUUUGGGUUGUUUUCAGUUUUUAAAAUCAUACAUGAUGCUUCAAUCAACAACUGUUGCAGGAGUGAGAUUUUAGUAGGAUGGUUACCAGAAGUAAAUAUACAGGGCUUUGACUUCUGAAGUAGACUUUUAUAUAUUUUUAAGCAUUGAGAGUCAUAUAGCAAUUUCGGUUGUUUUGCCUCACAAGAGCAGCUACAAGAUGGCACAACUAAAGAGGGAGAUGGGGUUAGUGAGAAGGUCAGGUGUCAAAUUCAACCUUUUGGCCUUAGGGGGCUGGAAAAUGAG